GACGAACGCUGGCGGCGUGCCUAAUACAUGCAAGUCGAACGCACAGUUUAUACCGUAGCUUGCUACACCAUAGACUGUGAGUUGCGAACGGGUGAGUAACGCGUAGGUAACCUGCCUGGUAGCGGGGGAUAACUAUUGGAAACGAUAGCUAGUACCGCAUAAUAUUGAUUAUUGCAUGAUAAUUGAUUGAAAGAUGCUAUUGCAUCACUACCAGAUGGACCUGCGUUGUAUUAGCUAGUAGGUGAGGUAACGGCUCACCUAGGCGACGAUACAUAGCCGACCUGAGAGGGUGAUCGGCCACACUGGGACUGAGACACGGCCCAGACUCCUACGGGAGGCAGCAGUAGGGAAUCUUCGGCAAUGGACGAAAGUCUGACCGAGCAACGCCGCGUGAGUGAAGAAGGUUGUCGGAUCGUAAAGCUCUGUUGUAAGAGAAGAACGGGUGUGAGAGUGGAAAGUUCACACUGUGACGGUAGCUUACCAGAAAGGGACGGCUAACUACGUG
rnacentral:rRNA from 1 species